UUAUACCCCAGAUCGGGUGAGACCAU
rnacentral:rRNA from 3 species